UUAAGUGAAUAAGGGCGCACGGUGGAUGCCUUGGCACUAGGAGCCGAUGAAGGACGGGACUAACACCGAUAUGCUUUGGGGAGCUGUAAGUAAGCUAUGAUCCAGAGAUUUCCGAAUGGGGGAACCCAAUAUCUUUUAUAGGAUAUUACUUUUCAGUGAAUACAUAGCUGAUUAGAGGUAGACGCAGAGAACUGAAACAUCUUAGUACCUGCAGGAAGAGAAAGAAAAUUCGAUUCCCUGAGUAGCGGCGAGCGAAACGGGAAGAGCCCAAACCAACAAGCUUGCUUGUUGGGGUUGUAGGACUCCAAUAUGGUAGUCUGUUAGUAUAGUUGAAGGAUUUGGAAAAUUCCGCUAAAGAGGGUGAAAGCCCCGUAGACGAAAUGCUAACAACACCUAGGAGGAUCCUGAGUACGGCGGAACACGAGAAAUUCCGUCGGAAUCCGCGGGGACCAUCCCGCAAGGCUAAAUACUCCCUAGUGACCGAUAGUGAACCAGUACCGUGAGGGAAAGGUGAAAAGCACCCCGGAAGGGGAGUGAAAUAGAUCCUGAAACCGUGUGCCUACAACAAGUCAAAGCUCGUUAAUGAGUGAUGGCGUGCCUUUUGUAGAAUGAACCGGCGAGUUACGAUUGCAUGCGAGGUUAAGUCGAAGAGACGGAGCCGCAGCGAAAGCGAGUCUGAAUAGGGCGAAUGAGUAUGUAGUCGUAGACCCGAAACCAUGUGAUCUACCCAUGUCCAGGUUGAAGGUGCGGUAAAACGCACUGGAGGACCGAACCCACGUACGUUGAAAAGUGCGGGGAUGAGGUGUGGGUAGCGGAGAAAUUCCAAACGAACUUGGAGAUAGCUGGUUCUCUCCGAAAUAGCUUUAGGGCUAGCCUCGGAAUUGAGAAUGAUGGAGGUAGAGCACUGUUUGGACUAGGGGCCCAUCUCGGGUUACCGAAUUCAGAUAAACUCCGAAUGCCAUUCAUUUAUAUCCGGGAGUCAGACUGCGAGUGAUAAGAUCCGUAGUCGAAAGGGAAACAGCCCAGACCACCAGCUAAGGUCCCAAAAUAUAUGUUAAGUGGAAAAGGAUGUGGGGUUGCACAGACAACUAGGAUGUUGGCUUAGAAGCAGCCACCAUUUAAAGAGUGCGUAAUAGCUCACUAGUCGAGUGACCCUGCGCCGAAAAUGUACCGGGGCUAAACAUAUUACCGAAGCUGUGGACUACACCAUUAGGUGUAGUGGUAGGAGAGCGUUCUAAGGGCGUUGAAGGUCGAUCGUGAGGACGGCUGGAGCGCUUAGAAGUGAGAAUGCCGGUAUGAGUAGCGAAAGACAGGUGAGAAUCCUGUCCACCGUAUGACUAAGGUUUCCUGGGGAAGGCUCGUCCGCCCAGGGUUAGUCGGGACCUAAGCCGAGGCCGAUAGGCGUAGGCGAUGGACAACAGGUUGAUAUUCCUGUACCAGUUGUUUUUGUUUGAGCAAUGGAGGGACGCAGUAGGCUAAGGAAUGCAUGCGAUUGGAAGUGCAUGUCCAAGCAAUGAGUCUUGAGUAGAGUUAAAUGCUUUACUCUUUAAGGACAAGUUGUGACGGGGAGCGAAAUAAUAGUAGCGAAGUUCCUGAUGUCACACUGCCAAGAAAAGCUUCUAGUGAGAAAACAACUGCCCGUACCGUAAACCGACACAGGUAGUCGAGGAGAGUAUCCUAAGGUGAGCGAGCGAACUCUCGUUAAGGAACUCGGCAAAAUGACCCCGUAACUUCGGGAGAAGGGGUGCUGACUUCGGUCAGCCGCAGUGAAUAGGCCCAAGCGACUGUUUAUCAAAAACACAGGUCUCUGCAAAAUCGUAAGAUGAAGUAUAGGGGCUGACGCCUGCCCGGUGCUGGAAGGUUAAGAGGAUGGGUUAGCUUCGGCGAAGCUCAGAAUUGAAGCCCCAGUAAACGGCGGCCGUAACUAUAACGGUCCUAAGGUAGCGAAAUUCCUUGUCGGGUAAGUUCCGACCCGCACGAAAGGCGUAACGAUUUGGGCACUGUCUCAACGAGAGACUCGGUGAAAUUUUAGUACCUGUGAAGAUGCAGGUUACCCGCGACAGGACGGAAAGACCCCAUGGAGCUUUACUGUAGUUUGAUAUUGAGUGUUUGUACCACAUGUACAGGAUAGGUAGGAGCCGAUGAGACCGGAACGCUAGUUUCGGAGGAGGCGCUGGUGGGAUACUACCCUUGUGUUAUGAACCCUCUAACCCGCACCACUAAUCGUGGUGGGAGACAGUGUCAGAUGGGCAGUUUGACUGGGGCGGUCGCCUCCUAAAAGGUAACGGAGGCGCCCAAAGGUUCCCUCAGAAUGGUUGGAAAUCAUUCGAAGAGUGUAAAGGCAGAAGGGAG
rnacentral:rRNA from 1 species